AAAGAAUUUCGAAGUAAAGGACUAUGUUUUACUCCGAAACUGGGGGGCAUGUGUUGACGCCGGAUUUCGUCAUCAGUAGAAUCGGCGCCAAAGAAGAAAGAAAUCGAAGGAGUACAGAUGGGAAUCGGUCAAAAGAUGCUACAGUGCGGAAUCGGUCAAGUGGCUUUUACUUCGCUUCAGAGUGAAUACGCCAGGUUCCCAAUCGGCAAUCCUUUGCUGAUGAGAAAUCGGCCGAUCAGGAAGGUGGACUAAGGUGGGCCUGUAUGGGCUUGGAAAGAUGGAAGGAUAAGGUGGGAUUCAGCCCACGAAGCGUAGGGUAAUUAGUUUAGCACGGAUUGUGCUUGUAGAUAUUUGUUUUCUGUUUGAAUUAGAGAUAGAGUUCUAGUCGGUUAAGAAGAUUAUUUGUACGGGGCUAUAAGU
rnacentral:lncRNA from 1 species